UCUAUCUCGAAAACUGAUGGGAGUGCAGAGGAGCGGGGUUGAGACAGCAAAAUAAUUAUUUCAAGUAUGUGCUACGCAGAGGUGGGGAUGUUCGGUCAGCUGUCUCCACAUGGCCACCGUCGGUGUCUCUACAGAGCUCAAAGCCAUGCAGUAUUAACCACGGAAAGAACGAGUGUUGGUGGUGGUAACAGGCAAGAUCAAAGGCUUGAAAUGCACGAAAAUUAUAACUUUGAGACGAAGUUUCAUGAGGCAGGUCCAAGAGACCAUGCUAUCUGUGUGAAUUAGAGAUGAAAUUUCAACCAACGCUACAUCAUCGCUUUGAGUUUUGUAGAGAUGGUGACGGUGACCGUGUGGAGAUUGCUCACUCGAUAUCCCUACUUUUGUGUGGCACUUAUUUUGAAAUAAAACUAUUUUGUUGGCUUAACCACGUUUUCCUGUAUUCUCA
rnacentral:lncRNA from 1 species